GAUGAACGCUGGCGGCGUGCCUAAUACAUGCAAGUCGAGCGAACGGACGAGAAGCUUGCUUCUCUGAUGUUAGCGGCGGACGGGUGAGUAACACGUGGAUAACCUACCUAUAAGACUGGGAUAACUUCGGGAAACCGGAGCUAAUACCGGAUAAUAUUUUGAACCGCAUGGUUCAAAAGUGAAAGACGGUCUUGCUGUCACUUAUAGAUGGAUCCGCGCUGGAUUAGCUAGUUGGUAAGGUAACGGCUUACCAAGGCAACGAUGCAUAGCCGACCGGAGAGGGUGAUCGGCCACACUGGAACUGAGACACGGUCCAGACUCCUACGGGAGGCAGCAGUCGGGAACCUUCGGCAAUGGGCGAAAGCCUGACGGAGCAACGCCGCGUGAGUGAUGAAGGUCUUCGGAUCGUAAAACCCUGUUAUUAGGGAAGAACAUCUGUGUAAGUAACUGUGCACAGCUUGACGGUACCUAAUCAGAAAGCCCCGGCUAACUACGUG
rnacentral:rRNA from 1 species